UUGCAAAAAAAAAAACAAACAAAAAUAAAACCUGGAGAGAAGUUUUUCAUCUGAAUUGUCUUGCCAGUUCCUUGUUAUUAUACGGCAUUAUCCAGUACCGGAUCACGAACAACUGGAUUCGCGAUGCUGCCGCUGAAAAAACAGCCAAAAACGCAACCAAACAUUCGCCACCGGGUUUUCAACUACAACCAACACAGGAAAAUGGAUGAGAAAGCAUUAGCCGUGCCUGCUGGAUCUGCCGUGUAAACCAGCAUUGGAGUGUGGUGAAAAAAAGGACGGAAAUUCGAAUUGACGUUUCUGCUUAGCCCUACUGGUAUGUUUCGUUGGGACUAGCAGCCGGACGAUUCCCAGGAAGGGGUUGACAUGGUGCCAGGUCAUCUCGAAGCUGCCGGAUUUUUCAUCAAAUUUUGCGUUGUGAAUUGUGUAUUUAAUUUUUGUUUACAACAAACGUAACUUGAAGAAUAUUUCAUACAAAUGAACAAAAUAUAUUGUGCAAAGGACAAAUU